UUUCCAGACUCCUACGGGAGGCAGCAGUGGGGAAUAUUGCACAAUGGGGGAAACCCUGAUGCAGCGACGCCGCGUGAAGGAUGAAGUCUUUCGGUAUGUAAACUUCUAUCAGCAGGGAAGAAAAUGACGGUACCUGACUAAGAAGCCACGGCUAACUACGUGCCAGCAGCCGCGGUAAUACGUAGGUGGCAAGCGUUGUCCGGAUUUACUGGGUGUAAAGGGCGUGCAGCCGGGCCGACAAGUCAGAUGCGAAAUCCGCGGGCUUAACCCGCGAACUGCAUUUGAAACUAUUGGUCUUGAGUACCGGAGAGGUCAUCGGAAUUCCUUGUGUAGCGGUGAAAUGCGUAGAUAUAAGGAAGAACACCAGUGGCGAAGGCGGAUGACUGGACGGCAACUGACGGUGAGGCGCGAAAGCGUGGGGAGCAAACAGGAUUAGAUACCCGCGUA
rnacentral:rRNA from 1 species